UCUCUUCUGAAAUCCUAGCGCUCCCGAGAAGAAGAAGGGUGAGACGGGCGUGGAUCGGGGUUUCCCAAAUACAGAUCGCUCUUUUCUGGUUCUCCGGCUUCUCUUCCAACCAUCCUGAUAAGGAGUAUUUCUAACCCAUUCAUUCAUUUUUUUUUUUGCUAAUCUUUUUUCUUUUUUUACAGAUGUUAUAUUCCCCUCUUCUUCUGAAGAUCCUUGUCCUCAAGGAUCAAAAUGAAAAAACUAGUUCUUGAGUGAUCAGUAAUCUUCCCAUGUAGCUUCUUCACCGAAGUUACUCCAUUUGAUUAGCACUUUGGUAACUGCUCUGUUCCCCUUGCGGACCAUUUUUUUGUCUAAAAUUUUUUCUGAUUGGAUUAACAGUUGUCCUUCUUCUCCUGUGAGGGGUACUGUUGGUGUUGCUUGCUCGAGUUUCUGAAUCUCUCUUUUUAAUAAAGAUACAUAAAAUACGAGAUGUAUUUUAGAUCCCUCGGGCAGAUUAAGCUCAUAAGCCACAGGUCUAAUUUUUUUUAGUAUCUUGAAUGGUCCAUAAUACUGUGAAGUUUUGAAUUUCUGCGCAUGGCUACUGUAGUCUGUCGGUAGGGUUGGAGUUUAAGAUAUACCAAUUUUCCUACUUGAUAUUUUUUAUCUAUUCUUCUCUUAUCUGCAUUUUGUUUCAUGCAGUUUUGUGCUUCCUUAAGUCUGUCUCUUAAGAUCUGUAUCAUCUUUGUUCUUUCUCUGUUCCAAUCUGCCACUGUACCUUGCGGUUGCAUGUCCAUGUUGACUAUUGGGUACAUGUGAGGUGGAUAUCCAUACAGGGCUUGGUAAGGUGUCAUUCCUAGGGAGGAGUGAUAGUUGAUAUUAUACCACCACUCAGUCAGGGAUAGCCACUUAAGCCAUCUGUGCGGACUGUGAAAACAUAAGCAUCUUAAAUAUGUUUCUAAGCAUUGGUUUACUCUCUCUGUUUGUCCAUCUGUCUGUGGGUGAUAAGCAGUACUCAGAUGUAAUUUGACCCCCAUUAUUUUGAAUAGAUCUUGCCAUACCUGACUAGUGAAGAUCUUAUCUCUGUCUGAUAUAAUACUUUGUGGCAUCCCAUGUAACUUGUAUAUUGUAUCCAAGAAUGAUCUUGCUACAUUCUGUGCUGUAUAGGGAUGAGUCAAGGGAAUAAAAUAUGAAUAUUUAGUUAACCGAUCCACCACUACUAAUAUAAUGUCUUUACCUUCUGAUUUUGGUAAUGACUCAAUGAAAUCCAUACUGAUUUCUUGCCAGGCUUGUGUUGGAAUUUGCAGAGGUUGUAGUAGACUUGCAUAUGGAGUUCCCUCAAUUUUGUUUUUAAUACAAAUUUCACAUUCUUUCACUAGUUUCUCCCCUUGUUGUUUCAUUCCUGACCAAUAAAAUAAUUGCUUAAUUCUCUUAUAAGUAUGGUUCAUUCCUGAGUGCCCUCCUAAAGCUGAAGCAUGCAUAAGUUCUAGGAGCUUUUGUCUCAACUCUCCUAUUUUUCCAAUGUAAAUUCUCUCUUUAAACUUAAGCACUCCUUGUUUAUAAGUGCAUUCAGUAUGUGAUUCUGGCUCUAUGAGUACUUCUGCUAUAAGUUGUUGAGUCUGUUGGUCUCCUUCAUAACUGUUAGCUAUUUCCACACUUCAUGUAAGUACCACUGCUGUAAUGGCUUGCACCUUUUCUUCUUCAAUUCUCCAUCUGGAUAAUGCAUUUGUAGCCAAAUUUUCUUUCCCCUUCUUAUAAUGUAUCACAUAAUCCAACCCCAUAAGUUUCAUCAUACCUUUUUGCUAUGCUGCAGUAGUUACUUUUUAUUCUAAUAAGUAUUUUAAACUUUGGUGAUCUGUUUUAAUGAUGAAGGGUUGGGCACUAAUAUAGUGCUUCCAUUUUUCUACAGCCAUCAAAAUAGCUAGGAAUUCUUUUUCAUAAAUAGAAAGUGCUUGAUUCCUUUCAUUUAAACCUUUACUGAGGUAAGCUACAGGUCUUCCUUGUUGUGUGAGGACUACUCCAAUUCUAUAUCCACUGGCAUCUACUUCCAAAGUGAAGGGUAAGGAAUAAUUCAGUAUAGCUAAGACUGGUGCUGUAGACAUUACUUCUUUUAACUUCUCAAAUGCUUUUUGUGUGGUUUCAUCCCAAUAAAAAUUAUCUUUUUUUUAAGUAGCUCUGUUAGAGGUUUGCUAAUUGAUCCAUAGCCUUUUAUAAACCUUCUAUAGUAUCCUAUGAGCCCCAAAAAUCCCCUCAACUCCUUCAAUGUAGUUGGUUUAGGCCACUUUUGCAUGGCUAUCACCUUCUCAAGAUCAGUUGCCACACCUUCUUUAGAAAUUAUAUGCCCCAGAUAUUCCACUUGUUGCUAUCCAAAGAAAUAUUUAGAUCUUUUUGCAUACAACUGAUUUCUUCUUAAUAUAGUCAAUACUUCAGUGAGAUGUUCCACAUGCUCCUCUAAGGUUUUGCUGUAUACCAAAAUAUCAUCAAAAAAUACUAGCACAAACUUUCUGAGAUAAAAAGAGAACACCUCAUUCAUGGUAGCUUGAAAUGUGGUUGGUGCAUUAGUUAAUCCGAAGGGCAUCACUAAGAAUUCAUAAUGAUCCAUGUGAAUUCUAAAAGCUAUCUUAUAUACAUCUUCUGGGUUCAUUCUGAUUUGAUAGUAACCUGAUCUCAAAUCUAUUUUAGAGAAAUACUGAGAACCUUCAAGUUCAUCUAAAAGAUCAUCAAUUAAGGAUAUAGGAUAUUUAUUUUUCACUGUUGCUUUAUUGAGCUGCCUAUAGUCCACACAAAAUCUCCAACUGUUAUCUUUUUUUUACCAAUAAUAUAGGUGAAGUGUAAGGACUGGUGCUAGACUGAAUAAUGGUAGUUUUAAGCAUCUCCUGUAUUUGUCUUUCAAUCUCAUUUUUCUGUUUAUAUGUAUAUCUGUAUAGUCUGAUAUUAACUAGAUUAGUGCCCGGUAACAAUGGUAUUCUGUGAUCUUAUGGUCUAAUAGGUGGCAAUCCUUUAGGCUCUUGGAACACAUCAGUGUACUGUUUUAAUAUUGUAUUGACUUAAUCAGAUAUCUCUACCUCUGUUCUUUUUCCAUCAAAAUUCUUCAGUUGCCCAACUGCACAACAGUCUCCCUUAAGUCCAGACCUGUACCACUGUAUAGCAGUGAUCAUUUGAAGUUUGAUCUUAGUAGUCUUUAAUUUGGAUCCUUCUGUAAUACCUUUCAAUGUCAUUUGUUUUCCUUCAUAAAAGUAACAGUAUUAUCUAACAAGGUUUGCUGUACUGGUACCGGACGGCAUGCCGGUGUCGGAUCGGUACGGUAUGGUAUCGAUACCGUACCGUACCGACACAUGGUAUGCCUAGGCGUACCGGUCCGGUACCGGUACAUAAUAUUUUUUUCGAUUUUCAAAUUUUUUUUUGAAUUUUUGAAGUUAAUAAUUGAUAAAUACAACCUCAAUAUGGCAUUAUAUUGCAUAUUAUUGACAUAUUUGGAUUCAAUUUGGAGUUAGGUUGCGGUACAAAGACUCUUGAUCCAAAAUUUUCAACAUAUAUUUAUUUACAUUAUAUUUCAACUAUGUCAUCUUAAAACUAAAAAAAUAUAUAUAAAAUACGCAUUAAAAUGUAUCUAAAUAUUUAAGUACAAAGCGCAAUAACUGAUAUACGAACCUGAAGAUGUACUCUGCAUUUAAUUUUUUGUCGAGUGUCUGUGAUGCUCAUAAAUGUCUGGAUCAUCAACAUAGUNNNNNNNNNNNNNNNNNNNNAAGCUGCACCAUACUCUCGAAUAUUCAUCAUCCCAUAAGGCAUCAUCUCUGGAUUGUAAGACAUCUCAGACCUCUCGUUAAAAUUCUGACUUUGAGAAGUAUCCUCGAGAUGAUGGUAUGGUUGUGGAGGAACCCAUCCAAAUAUGUCAGUAGCAAAAUCUGAUCCGUAAGAUGCUCCAGACUGCAUAGGAUAAUAACCACUAGAAGAUGAUGCCUCGAAUGCACCAUAUGCAUAUGGAUCAUUCUUUCUCUUAUUUUGGCAUGAUUUUCUCUUAUUUUCAUUCUUUCUCAUUCUUAUCCUAUUUUUAACAACAAAAAUUAAAAAAAAAUAUUUACUAAGAAAAUAACAUAUUAUCUUACCUCCGAUCAAAGAUCAGCCUCUCUUCGAACCACUCCUACAAUUUGAUAGAGUUUUUUCUUUUUUUUAAUUUUUCGGAGGUCUCAACGGUUUUGUUGAGACCUUCAUAUGCUUUGGAAGUUCUCUGAGACUUCUCGGAGAACUCUAACACCUCUCAAUCAUUUAAAAGCUCUCCGACCCCACCCCUCCCCCCUCCCCACUUUUUACAUGUGGGGAUGUCGGCACAGUUCGGUUCACACCAAACCGGUACCGAACCGAUCCAUACCGUCCGAUUUUGGGCGAUAUGGACACGAACCGGACCGAGCCGAGCGGUUCGAUGCGGUUCGGGGAGUUUUUCGAAAAAAAAGUCCGAACCGGACCGGUAAUGUACCGGUCCGGCUCGGUACGCCUCGUACCGGGCGGUUCGGCCCGGUACGGUGAAUCCUGAUCUAAAUAAUCAAAGAUUAUUUUACCAUAGGUUCUUAACCAAUCAAUUUCCAAAAUUAUGCUGGAUCUCUCUAAUCUAAUCACCCUUAAAUCUGUUUAAUACUAUUCUCCCUGCAUAGACCAUUUAAAAUUGACACAUUUGAGUUUACUCAACACUUUGUGUCCAUUGGUCACUGUUACCACUAAUAAGUUUGCUGCAGUAAUUGUAACCUUCACUUCUUUAGCAACUUGAUAAUCAAUAAAGCUGUGAGUACUUCCUGUGUCAAUUAGAAUGACCAGAAUUUUAUUACCAGCUUCUUCUUGAAUCUUAAUAGUUUCAUUUUGAUUUUGUCCCAUUAAGGCAUAUACUGUUGUUUCUAUGUCUGUAUCUUUUUCUUCUUCUGUUAUGAUCUCCUCUAUCUCUUCUUCUUCUUCCUGCAAUAGCUGUUCAUCAAAUACUUCAUCGGUUUCUAUUGUAGCAUUUAUAGGUUGAUUCUUCUUUAUUGAACACUGAUGCCCAGGAUGAUAUUUUUCUCCACAUUUGAAACACAGACCAGCUGCUCUUCUUUGUUCAUACUGCUGUUUAUUAUCUUUCUGAAAUAACUUCUGAUUUCUAAAAGUUUGAUAUUUUGUGUUUUCCUUCUGUACUGCUAGUUUAUUGUGAAGAUAUUCUGCUGUUUUAAUUGUGGGUGUUUUGUAAACCAUUUUGUUCCUCUUUCACAUCAUUAACAAAGUCUGUUCAUGUAACUUAGCUUGCUCGUACACCUUUUCUAAAGUGGUAGGAUGAGAUAAAUCAAUAUAGGGUAUCAAUUCUUCCUUCAACCCACUGAUAAAGCUUUCUAUAAAAUACCUUUUGAUUAAUGCUGGAUUAUAUUGUAUCAUCUUAGCUCUCAUAUCUUCAAACUUUUCUUGAUACUUCUCUACAGUAUUUAUCUGCACCAAUUUAUUAAAUUUCCUGAUCAACUGUUUCAUAUUUCGACUGUCAAAUCUUUUGUUCACUACUUCCACCAAUUCUUUCCAACUCAAAUUUGGUUUAUCAAUUAUGUACCCUUCCUUCCAUUUGUGUGCCUUUUCCAUGAAAUGCAUGGUAGCAAUUUCCACCCAUUGAACCACUGGAAUCUGAUAUAUUUUAAAAUAUUGUUCACUCUUACUGAUCCAUUCUCUGGGUUCUUCACCAUUAAAGAUAGGAAAUUCCAAUUUUGGAUAAGGCAGGUGAAGUGGGGUCCUGUUUUGAAUAUCACCCAUCCUAUCCAAUGAUUGAUAAGGUGUGGGUAAUAUUCCUUUACCUCUAAUUUCAACUGCUGCUGCUGAUGAGCUAUAGUCAGGUGGCUCUGAACUAUUUGUUCUUCCAUUUCUUGGGGCUGACGGAUUGUUGUUUGCAGUGAAUGAAGGAGAGGGUUGAGAAACUGAUGGCUGCGGCAUAAUUAGCUUCAGCAAUUGCUCAUGCUUGCGAUUUUGUUCCUGCAUCAUGAUUUCAUGCCUCCUUGCAGCUUUAAUUUGUAAAGCUUCAUAUCUCUAUCUUUCCUCAAUCUGUAUUUCAUCUAACUGUCUUGCAAACACACCCAACUUCGUAUUGUAUUCCUCAGAUACUUGCUGUAAUCGGUUUUCUAUAUGAUUAUGGCAAUCUGUGGUACAUGUUUGCAUUCUUUCUUCCAGUACUCGUAGGUUUUCACAGAUAUCUUUUAAUUUGGUUCCUUCUGUCAUUUUUUUUACUACACUCCAACAAUAUUUUUAUAAAAUAUGUUUUGAAACUGUUUAACAGAUAUUAAAAAUUUUUACUCCUGGCUACAGCAAUCAAUUCAGGGUGGCCAAUGAUGAUUUCAUGAGGCCAGGUUGCUGUUCCUAACUCAUUGGAACAGUAAUCACCCUUGUGGACCCUGAUACAUUCAUUACAAUCUAUUCUGAAAAUAGAUCUAAGCAGUUUUGAGGGUGUUACCUGUUGUUGAGUGCCUUGAUUGACUGUAAAUUCUGUUGCCGAUCUCUAACCUGGACUGUGCAGCACCACAGAUGGCCGAUUACAGUAUCAGGUAAGCUUCACUACUAUUUUUUGAUAGUCUUGCCACAGAUCCAAAGUUCAGAUCUGAGCUCUGAUACCAAAUUUUUUGUAACAUCCCAACCAAAGUUUGCUGAACCGGUACCGCCGGCCGUUUCGGCCGGCCGGCGGUAUGGUUCGGUAUGGUUUCAUACCGUACCGAACCGACGACCCGAACCGGAAGAAAAAAGAGAGAAAUUGAGAGAAAUAGAGAGAG
rnacentral:lncRNA from 1 species